ACCUGGCUGGCUUAGUGAGAAGAGCAUGUGACUCUUGAUCUCAGGGUUGUAAGUUCAAGCCCCAUGCUGGGUG
rnacentral:tRNA from 1 species